rnacentral:rRNA from 1 species
GCAUAUCAAUAAGCGGAGGAAAAGAAACCAACUGGGAUUGCCUUAGUAACGGCGAGUGAAGCGGCAAUAGCUCAAAUUUGAAAGCUGGCCCCUUUGGGGUCCGCGUUGUAAUUUGUAGAGGAUGAUUCGGCGAGGGCUCCCGUCUAAGUCCCCUGGAACGGGGCGUCACAGAGGGUGAGAAUCCCGUAUGUGAUGGGUUGCCUUAGCCAUGUGAAUCUCCUUCGACGAGUCGAGUUGUUUGGGAAUGCAGCUCUAAAUGGGAGGUAAAUUUCUUCUAAAGCUAAAUACCGGCCAGAGACCGAUAGCGCACAAGUAGAGUGAUCGAAAGAUGAAAAGCACUUUGGAAAGAGAGUUAAAAAGUACGUGAAAUUGUUGAAAGGGAAGCGCUUGCAGCCAGACUUGUCCGCAGUUGCUCAGCCGGUCUCCUGACCGGCGUACUCUUCUGCGGCCAGGCCAGCAUCAGUUCGGGCGGUCGGAUAAAGACCUCGGGAAUGUAGCUCCUCUCGGGGAGUGUUAUAGCCCGGGGUGGAAUGCGGCCAGCCUGGACUGAGGAUCUCGCUUCGGCUAGGAUGCUGGCGUAAUGGCUGUAAGCGGCCCGUCUUGAAACACGGACC